AUCCAGUUGACGAGUCCAAAUUAGGACGAAACGCGCAUCCUGGAU
rnacentral:hammerhead_ribozyme from 1 species